GCUGUCGAAGGAACGGAUUCGGCAGACAAUAUGUUUUUCCUUACACAAGUUUCUACGUUCCAGGAAUUACCAUUCGUGGUGCAAAUGAUCAAGUUGAACUGCUGAACAACAGUUGAGAUGAUUGUGCUGUUACAUCUGCUGAUACACUUUGGUUGUUGAAGAGGUUUCCGCCGAGCGGUGAAUGUGGCUGUUAAUGAACUACUAUUCCUUGAGAAAUGUGUCACUCACUUGCAAAACGUGAGGAAAUUUGUGGCUUUAAUAAUGCUCUGUAGCACAUUCGUGCUGAACCAAUAUGUUAGGUUUUUCUUCAGAGAUUCCCAUGGCUUUGUGAGCUCUAUGAUCCCCCGCUAAAAAUUGUCAUAGUUUGUUCUUUCCUUUUUUGUGGUACCAUCGCAAUGUUGUAUAAUGCGCAAAGUUGAACUCUGCUUGUGUGAUGGCAUGGCAAUAUGACAGCUGCUAUACCUGGGA